rnacentral:rRNA from 1 species
GCGCGAAAACUCUGCAAUAAGCGAAAGCUUGACAGGGUUAUUCUGAGUGAUUUCCGCUAAGGAAAUCUUUUGGCACCUCUAAAAAUGGUGCAGAAUAAGGGGUGGGCAAGCCUGGUGUCAGCCGCCGCGGUAAUACCAGCACCCCGAGUGGUCGGGACGAUUAUUGGGCCUAAAGCAUCCGUAGCCGGUUCUACAAGUCUUCCGUUAAAUCCAUCUGCUUAACAGAUGGGCUGCGGAGGAUACUAUGGAGCUAGGAGGCGGGAGAGGCAAGCGGUACUUAGUGGGUAGGGGUAAAAUCCGUUGAUCCACUGAAGACCACCAGUGGCGAAGGCGGCUUGCCAGAACGCGCUCGACGGUGAGGGAUGAAAGCUGGGGGAGCAAACCGG